AGAACGAACGCUGGCGGCAGGCUUAACACAUGCAAGUCGAGCGCCCCGCAAGGGGAGCGGCAGACGGGUGAGUAACGCGUGGGAAUCUACCUAGCUCUUCGGAAUAGCUCCGGGAAACUGGAAUUAAUACCGAGUACGCCCUACGGGGGGAAAGAUUUAUCGGAGUUAGAUGAGCCCGCGUUGGAUUAGCUAGUUGGUGGGGUAAAGGCCUACCAAGGCGACGAUCUGUAGCGGGUCUGAGAGGAUGAUCCGCCACACUGGGACUGAGACACGGCCCAGACUCCGUACGGGAGGCAGCGAGGUGGGGGAAUAG
rnacentral:rRNA from 1 species